rnacentral:rRNA from 1 species
AAACUCCGCAAUGCUCGCAAGAGCGACGGGGGGACCCCAAGUGCCCCUGCACUGCAGGGGCUUUUGCGGAGUGUAAACAGCUCCGCGAAUAAGGGCUGGGCAAGACCGGUGCCAGCCGCCGCGGUAACACCGGCAGCCCGAGUGGUGGCCACUAUUAUUGGGCCUAAAGCGUCCGUAGCCGGUCCGGUAAGUCCCUGUGGAAAUCCUCAGGCUCAACCUGAGGAAAUGCGGGGAUACUGCCGGACUCGGGGCCGGGAGACGCGGAGGGUACUCCAGGGGUAGCGGUGAAAUGCUGUAAUCCCUGGGGGACCACCAGUGGCGAAGGCGCUCCGCGAGAA